AAAGAUUUAUAGUACAGCUAAAAUUUUUCACAACAGAUUUUUUCUUCCCUAAUCAUUUGGCUAUUUGUCUUUAACUCUUACAGAAAAGUUGGUCAUAGUCCUGGUUUUGAUUACCCAUCUCAGUGUCAUUGAUUGUGCCACCUAAAUUUUUCUGGACCUUUUGUUGGUUGAAUGAGAGGGUUGGAUUAUGUGAUCACCGGGGACUUUCUAAUCGUCAACUCCUAGAACAUACAUUUUGUGGAUUCAGUCUUUGAGUCUAGCUCACUUACUCGGUUUCCUAAAUAUAAUGCCUUCUAUUUGGAGCAAAUAUGGUAUACUUUUAUUACUAAGAAUAUAUCACUUACUCCUAAUGUGAGCUGACUGCAAAGGUUAUAAUUGUAAUAAUUCAUUGCAUUUCUCGUCUAUUUACAAAUAUACAUGCUCUCCAUAGAUAAUUAUAUCUGCUCCUCACAACAGCUUUAUAAGGUGGAUUUUAAAGCUCCCAUUUUAUGGAGGAGGAAGCUAAGGCUCACACGGUUUUGAUUCAUCCAAGGUCAAAUAGGUAGCGUGGAGGAAC